ACUCCUACGGGAGGCAGCAGUGGGGAAUAUUGCACAAUGGGGGAAACCCUGAUGCAGCGACGCCGCGUGGAGGAAGAAGGUCUUCGGAUUGUAAACUCCUGUUGUUGAGGAAGAUAAUGACGGUACUCAACAAGGAAGUGACGGCUAACUACGUGCCAGCAGCCGCGGUAAU
rnacentral:rRNA from 1 species